rnacentral:lncRNA from 1 species
GUCUAUCAAACAAAUGAUAAAAGAGAGAUAAGCAGUCAGAAGACUAGUCUCAAAGAGAAAAUUUUACCAGCAUCACAGAACCACAACCAUCAUAAUAACAUCAUAGGGAUUCACAAAAUGGUGUGUUUAACUCUAUUCCAAGAGAAAAUAAUCGCCUUCCCAGCCAAAGAGAAAACUAUCCCAGGAUUUGUACUUCUUACAGAAAUAACUUGACAUAACCCCUGGCUUUUUCUCAUUU